GCCUGGGUGGCUCAGUCAGUUGAGUGUCUGACUUAUGCUCAGGUCAUGAUUUCAUGGUUUUGUGAGUUCGAGCCCCGCGUCGGGCU
rnacentral:tRNA from 1 species